CUACGGGUGGCAGCAGUGGGGAAUAUUGGACAAUGGGGGGAACCCUGAUCCAGCCAUGCCGCGUGUGUGAAGAAGGCCCUCGGGUUGUAAAGCACUUUCAGUGAGGAAGAACGCCUGGUGGUUAAUACCCAUCAGGAAAGACAUCACUCACAGAAGAAGCACCGGCUAACUCCGUGCCAGCAGCCGCGGUAAUACGGAGGGUGCGAGCGUUAAUCGGAAUUACUGGGCGUAAAGCGCGCGUAGGUGGCUUGAUAAGCCGGUUGUGAAAGCCCCGGGCUCAACCUGGGAACGGCAUCCGGAACUGUCAAGCUAGAGUGCAGGAGAGGAAGGUAGAAUUCCCGGUGUAGCGGUGAAAUGCGUAGAGAUCGGGAGGAAUACCAGUGGCGAAGGCGGCCUUCUGGACUGACACUGACACUGAGGUGCGAAAGCGUGGGUAGCAAACAGGAUUAGAUACCCGAGUAGUC
rnacentral:rRNA from 1 species